rnacentral:lncRNA from 1 species
CUUUCUUCCCCAGAGAGUGUGAGAUCAAGAAGAAUAUUUUCUUCUCCAGAGCCCUGGAAGUGUUGACAUUGACAAGGAAAGCUAUGGAGCUGAUGAUGCUUCCCUUUUGGCCUUGCUUGCCAGGAAACUUGUACUUUUUGUCUUAUUGCUUGCUUCCCUUUUCCAUGGUUUGGGUUUUCUGCCUUUAACGGCCUUUUAAUUUAUGUGAGCUGUUCCACUCAUGGGAGGAGUGGGAUACGGAAAGGUUGAACUGAAUAGGAAAGGAAAGAUCGAAAACUGCAAGGAAAUACCUUACAUAAAACUCCGAACUUAAGGAAAGGGCUGUCCCUGUCUCCUAUCUGUUCCUUCCACAGAGCUCUGGCUCUGGCUCUGGCUUAGGAAUUUUGCAUGGGCAGCUCAGUGGUGAUUUCCUCUCUCACAUCUGGGUCAGUGGCACUUUUGCACUUAGAAUGUAACCGAAGGCCUGCCCAGCUUUCCCACCUCAGCUUGUCCCUUGUCCCUUUGCUCACCAGGGUAACCACUUGGGUCAUCUUUUAGAUCUACCCUAAGCCAAUGUCUCUCCUGCCUCAGGAAAAGAGGCUUUUUGAACGCUGUUCCUUUUGCCUGGGACUCCCUGAUCCCACCUCCUGUUUUUGCCUGGAUUCUUUUCCUUACCUUUAGAUUUCAGCUGAAAGCCCAUAGCUCAAAGUACCUCGUGUUCCCGUCUGCUUUAUCUUUGGGGCAGUGGACAUGAGCUGCAGGGACAAGGACUGUGUUUGUCCUGCUCACCACUACUGCCAACAUUGAGCACAGCAAAUGACUUGUCGCAAGAGCUGAAUGAAUGAAUGAGUCGCAUCAGUGGGAUCCUGCAGUGUCUCCUAGAGCCACUGUGAGCCUCUGUGGCUGGAAUCCAGGCUGGGACAGAGCCAGGGGACAAGGUGGGCAUGGCCCAAGCCUCAGCCCUCUGGGGCUUUCACAGUCAGAACUGUGCAGGGAGCCUGGGGACCUCUGUUCCUGCCAGGCCUCCCAGCUCUGCCAGGGAGAAUCGCCCCCUCCCCCUUUCUUUGGUGCUGGGGAUCAAACAAGGACCUUGUGAAUGGCCAGCAAGUUCUCUACCCACCCAGCCACCUUCCCUUUCCUUCCCCCUCCCUCUACCUCAGUGGGGCACCUGGGAAGUCUGUUUGUGUGUGCAUGUGUACCGAUGAUGGGGACAGGACAGAGUCAUGGGGCCAGCUCUGUCCCAUUCUGAGCACGGUUUGGACAUAUGGCCACGGUGGUCGCUGAGUGCCCAGUCAGAAAGGAAGUGCUGCCCACCUGUGAGCCUGUGUUCCGGUAACCAUGUCCCAUGUCCCUGAUUCAUCUGUAUCAUCCGGUGUUAUUGGAAGUUGUUCCUCCUCCCCUCUUACAGACGAGGUUAGCUGAUGCUUAGAUUACUUGUCCCAAAUCCUACUGCCUCUAAGUGGUAGAGGCAGGAUUUGAACCGUGGCAGUGUGGCUCCAGAAGCCACCAUCUUAACCAUUCUGCUUCUCUGAGCCUCACUCUGCAUCUCUGGAAAGGAGCUAAUAAUACCUGCUUAACACAGCUGUGAUAAUAUACAAUCCACUUGCCAGGCAUAGGGAAGGUUCCCAAUAAAUCUCAGUGUUUAGUGGCAAGAUAGAUAAACGGGCCUCACUAGGGAGGGUUUUCAAGGCUGUACUGUGAGGGCCGGGAGCCAUUGAAAGUUUUUGAGCAAGAGAGUGACAUGAAGAGAUUGUGGCUGAGUUCAGAUCCUGCCCUUUCCCUUUGCUGCUCCCCCUACCUGAUGCUGGUGGCUGAGCUCCACUCACCCCUGCCUUAUCUCCCUGUGGGCUUUUGAGGUCUGAGCUAUUUGAGAAGUGUGACAGGUCAUCCUUGACCUCCUGAAUGAAGGGGACAGGAAGGGAUGCUGCUCCCCUUCCCGGUGGCCUCUAGGUCUCUCCAGUCUCAUCUCAAGGGGCAGCCUCAGAGCCCUAUUUGUGCCCUGUUUCCAUCUCCACUUUGAACACUAGCAAUUGUGAGAGGCACCUGGCUUCCUCUCACCAUCGACUCCUUAUCCCAUUCUGGCUAUCUGACCCUGUGCUCUGUUCCUUAGUCCUGUUGGGUGUUUAUGGUCGGGCGCGCACGCGCACUCUCAUGCACUGCCCUCGGCCCGUGGCAUGUGUGCUGUGCACAUGAGCAUCCGUGAUGUACUGUUACCUGUGCUUGUCUAUGUGCAUCGAUGGCUUCUGGCUGCACACGGAUGAGGGGUGCAGAGGACCCGUGUGGUGGCCUCCACCUCCUCGCCACUGUCCCCUCUCUGUGCUUCCUUCUGUCCUCAUCAGCGUCUCUGCUCACCCAUGCCUUGGUCCCUUGAAG